CACGUAGGCGGCAUGACAAGUCAAAGGUGAAAGCCCUCGGCUCAACCGAGGAACUGCCUUUGAAACUGUUUUGCUUGAGUCCGGGAGGGGGGAGCGGAAUUCCCAGAGUAGCGGUGAAAUGCGUAGAUACUGGGAGGAACACCGGUGGCGAAGGCGGCUCCCUGGACCGGUACUGACGCUGAGGUACGAAAGCGUGGGUAGCAAACA
rnacentral:rRNA from 1 species